AUUAUUUGGAUGCAAAUAGGAAAAAAUAUGGUUGAAACUCAGAAGUUAGUUUAUGUUAUACUUUUAUUUCUUUCUAUAUUUCUUUUCACUAACUCUCCUUUGAGUCAGAUUAUUUUUAGUGAAUGUAAAACAGAUAAAGAUUGUCCAAAAUAUCAGAGAGCUAAUAUUAGGUGUCGUAAAGGCCAAUGUGUAAGGAUCUAAAACAACCUAAUGAGAUAAAUGAGUUCUUUCUCUAGCAAGAGAAUUGUACAAUAUUCCCUAUGCUAGAAUAUUCCACUUGUUGUCAUUUAGUUUUUGUUCAUGCACUCAAUAAUUAUUAUUUUCUUCUUAUGUUUUUCCCUAGUUUCAAGUUAUGAAUUUGUAUUCUAAGAUGAUGGAAAUGAAAUAAGGCAGCAAAGAGUUUUAUCUAUAGGAUCUCCUUAUCUCGUAAAUUUGGUGGUAUCACCAUGACUUGCAAUCCAGACACAUCACACCUAUAAUAAUAAGUUUAAUAGUUAUGUUGAAAUUGGUGAAGUACAUUGAAAAUAACACAAAUUCAACAUCGUCAAAAUUGAAAUUGAAGACUUUAUUCACUUUUAGGUAUAAUGUAGGUAGAAAAAAGUUAAAAAAAGGUUAGUUUUUAAGUGUGUUUUUUAGAUUUAAGUCAAAACCAUUUUGUCUAAAAUCGAAAACUAUACUUUGUUUAAACAAAAUUUUGAAACAUGAUGACAAAUCUGGCAAGUGCACCAACUGCUUAAGUAAUUUAGUAUCAAGAUUAUCGUCUCCACAAGGAUUAUUUUGUGACGAGAAUGUUCUAUUAGAGACAUGAAAAACCUUCCUCAAUCUCAAAAUUGCUCUGUUUGAUUUUUAUUCUUCCAAAUCAUAUAUUGAAUGGUGAUGUAAAACUCUUGGAUCAUCCUAAGUAUUUUACGAUAGAAUAUCCAUGCAUAUGAUAAUGAAGUUUCAUCUUUGAUAAUUCUCCAAUUAAUAUUAUUAAUGAAUAACUUUAUGAAUAAUUUAAUAUUUAUGAAUUGGUUUCUCUUAAAAAUUGAACCUAAUCAUAUAGAUGAAAUAAUGAGAAUAAUUUCGAGUGUAAUAACCAUCUUCAUCAUGAGAACAUUCUUCCAUCAGAGUUGAUAAUUUUCUCUUCUAUUUGAGACGACAAUAUCUUACUGGUCAAUUAACCUUAAAUCAUGUGGCUUUAGGAGUUGUCAUGUGACUUUAGAAGUAAUCAUGUGUAGCUUUCAACUAUUAACCUCUUAUUCCUUGAAUCUUUAAGGAUUUUUUGAAAAUCAUGUGGUGAGGAGAAUGAAUCAAUUAAUCAUUAAUCUCAUCAGCUUUUUGAAUCUUUAAUCGACACUCUUUUCAUUCAAACAAUAUUCGUUCAAUAUCUUCUUUGAGCUUGUGAACUAUGAUGCUACUAUUUCCGUAUUCUUAUAUUGAGUAGAUACAUGUACUUACAAAAUAAUUUAUUAAGAAGGUUAUUUUUGGAGUUUAGCGAGAAUAAUUUUUUUUAAAAAGUUACUAGUGAGUUGGAAUAAUUAUUUAGAGAUGGUAAUUAUUCGAUAUUUUAACGGUUUAAGUGAGUAGUAACUUUUGAGAAUUGGUUAGUAAGGAUGUUGAGCCCAUUAUGACAAUUGAAAACCUAUCCCAAUUAAGAGGUGACUAUAUAAGCAUAACUCUUAUGAUCAUAGCGUACGUUCUACUUGUUCAUAAAUAUCCAAUGGUGAUUUAUAUUCGUACAUAACUUUAUGAUGAUAUAAUUGUUUUUCCCUUUACUCUCACGAAAUGUUAAGAAAACAAUACAAUUAUUUACAGGAAAAAGUAAUCUAAAGUGUGUAAAAUUGUAUUCAGUUAUAUUGAUUAUUAUUUUUAUUACUUGAACUCCUUCCUAAGUGUGUUAAAGAGACAAAAAUAAUAUAGUGAUAUAUUUAAGAGACAUCUAGUAAUAAUUUUAAAAUUCUGAAAGGGCUUUUCAAAUUUUAUAAUGUUUAAACUAUUUAAUUAUUUCUCUAAGACCAUGAACUUUACUGUACACUAUAAAGAGAUCGAGUCAUUUACUAUUAUUUGGAUGCAAAUAGGAAAAAAUAUGGUUGAAAUUCCGAAGUUAGUUUAUGUUAUAAUUUUACUUUUUUCUAUAUUUCUUUGUAUAUCAAUAUCUAUUUUUUCUUGUAAAACUGAUAAAGAUUGUCCAAAACUUUGAGGAGUUAAUGUUAGGUGUCGUAAAGGUGCAUGCAUAUCGAUCUAAAACAUCAUAAUGAGAUAAUGAGUUCUCUUUAUCUAGCAAGAGAAUUGUACACUAUACCUUAUGCUAGAAUAUUCUACUUGUUGUCAUUUAGUUUUUGUGCAUGCACUCAAUAAUUAUUAUUUUCUUCUUCUAUUUUCCCCUAAUUUCAAGGACCUUUAAGUUAUGACUUUGUAAUAUAAGAUGAAGGAAAUAAAAUAAGACGUCAAAGUUUUAUUUAUAGGAUAUCUUUAUCUCAUAAAUUUGGAGGUAUCACUACCAUGGCAUGCAAUCCAGACACAUCACACCUAUAAUAAUGAGUUUAAUAGUUAUGUUGAAAUUGGUAAAGUACUUUGAAAAUAACACAAAUUUAACAUCACCAAAAUUGAAAUAUAAGACUUUGUCCAAUUUUAAUGUAUGAUUUAAUCUUUUUGCAUGAAUCAAAUAGAAGAUAAUUUUAUCUCUUUACAGUGUAUAAUGUAGGUACAAAAAAGUUAAAAAAAUCUUAGUUUUUAAUUGUGUUUACUGUUUUAAGUCAAUUCACUUUGUCUAAAAUUGAAAACAAUACUCUGUUGAAACAAAAUUUUGAAAGAUGAUGAUAAAUUUGGAAAGUGCACCGAAC
rnacentral:lncRNA from 1 species